rnacentral:rRNA from 1 species
GCGGUUAUACAAAUUGUACAAAUUAAAUGUUUUAGUAAGUAGUUAAUUAUUAUUUAAAUAAAAUUUAUUAUAAUUUUAGGUGAAAUUUUGAUUAUAUUUAAUUUUGUUAAUAAUUGAAGUGAGGCUAUUAAAAUUUUAUUAUAAACUAGGAUUAGAUACCCUAUUAUUAAAAUUUUAAAAUUAAUAUACUAAGGUAGUAAUUGUUAUGUUCAUGAAACUUAAAAAAUUUGGCGGUAAUUUAGUCCUUUUAGAGGAACCUGUCCCGUGAUCGAUGAUCCACGAUAAAUUUUACUAAUUUUAUUAGUUUAUAUACCGUCGUUAUCAGAUAAUUUUAUAAGAAUAAAAUUUUCUAUAAUUAAUAUUUUAAUAUAUUUCAGAUCAAGGUGUAGCUUAUGAAUUAGAGGAGAUGGGUUACAAUAAAUUAAUUUAUAUGAAUAAUAAGUUGAAAUAUUUGUUUGAAGGUGGAUUUAAUAGUAAUAUUAAUUAUAUUAUUAAUAUGAUUUUGGCUCUAUAUUAUGCACACAUCGCCCGUCGCUCUUUUCCUAAGGAAAGAUAAGUCGUAACAGAGUAGGUGUACUGGAAAGUGUACCUGGAAAGA